AGAGUUUGAUUAUGGCUCAGGAUGAACGCUGGCGGCGUGCCUAACACAUGCAAGUCGAACGGAGUGUUGAGAGCUUGCUUUUGACACUUAGUGGCGGACGGGUGAGUAAUGCGUGAGCAACCUGCCUUUCAGAGGGGGACAACAGUUGGAAACGACCGCUAAUACCGCAUAAUGUAUCGUGAGGGCAUCCUCGUGAUACCAAAGGAGCAAUCCGCUGAAAGAUGGGCUCACGUCUGAUUAGCUAGUUGGUGGGGUAACGGCUCACCAAGGCUGCGAUCAGUAGCCGGACUGAGAGGUUGAACGGCCACAUUGGGACUGAGAUACGGCCCAGACUCCUACGGGAGGCAGCAGUGGGGAAUAUUGGGCAAUGGGCGAAAAAGCCUGACCCAGCAACGCCGCGUGAAGGAAGAAGGUCUUCGGAUUGUAAACUUCUUUUAUGAGGGACGAAGGACGUGACGGUACCUCAUGAAUAAGCCACGGCUAACUACGUGCCAGCCGCCGC
rnacentral:rRNA from 1 species